AUGAUUAAAACAAAGCCAAAAAUACCACCGCAUUGGAGUCAUGAGUCAGACGCCGACCUUUCACGUAAACGCCGCGGAGAGGCUGGGAUCGGACGGCACCGCGGGGCUCCCGGUGAGAGGGAAGGACGGACAUCGCGGAGAGCCCUGCGCAGGAGGGGACGGGGUGGUGACAGCGGCACGGGGGGGGGGNGGGAAGGGGGGGGGGGGGGGGGGGGGGGGGGGUCGGAACGGGCCGCUCCCCGCAGGACCGCAGCUUCGUGCAGUGUUGGCACGCAGCAGCGCUGUGAAAGCUUUAAACUUCCAUCUGUCGGGCCGUUACGGCCUCGCUUCACACGGAACCCGCAGCUCUCUGUGAGAGUGACUGCGAGUGACGGGAUUUCAGAGAUCUCACGCACUGAGAGACUCCCUGCGAACCUCCGAGCCGGCGCCAGGGCGGCAGGAGUAACAGAAUGCUUCUCACGUCCGCUUGGGCUUUUCUCCCAGUUUCGGCUCUGGAUGCAAAGUCAGAACAAACUGCGCUGGUUUAUGGCUCGGGCCGUAGGGAGCGCAGCGCCGCCUGCUCGGCGGCAUGGGGAUAACCCUGACCGAUCCUGCAUGGCUCGGCACGGCCUCUCCUUUGUACCCCCUGGGUUCCACGCCGGUGGCCGCCACCCGAGCGUGCGGCCGAAGCCGUGCUGUGCCGCGCCGUGCCGGGGCUUUGGCCGCACUGUCCCUGAAGCUCUGCGUGGAGCCCCGCACCGCCGCUACAGAGCGCUGCCCCCGAGGCAGACGGGGGAGGAGAUUCCAAUCGCGUUAAUCAGCCGAGUGCCGACCUUACCCCUUCUGCAGUACGAAAACAUUUCCUUUCGCUCCCUUUUAAAGAUAACACACGGUUCCGUCCUUCAGUCCCUGGCAGAUCCUCCGCAGGGGCAGAGAAGAAAGGCCCCGUCCCACCCCGAGCGGAACACCGCGCACGGAGCAGCGCCAGAGCCGUACCAGGGCCGAGCCGUGCCGGCUGACCCGGCACACCGCGGCCCGAUGCUGCCACCCACCCCUCGCCCUGCUGAUCCCAGGCACUGGCAGAUCGCCGGAGCCCUUGGUGCGCAGAGCCUUCAGAGCCGAGCAGACACAAUAGCAGUGUCCCUUUGCAAGAAAUGGGCUCUGCCCGCAGUCACCGUCCCGCAGCAGCACGAAGGGCAGCAAUGCGAUCAGGCGGCGAUGCGGUACCGACGGCACUCGGUGCGCUGCUGCCCUGCGGCUGCGGGGAUGCUCUGUGCAGCUCAGCAGUUAGCAGUGUCUAACCAAGAGCUGGGAGAUGGAAGGGAAAGUUAG
rnacentral:lncRNA from 1 species